GGCAACAUGGCCGAGUGGUCUAAGGCGCCAGAAUCAGGACCCAUCCCUCAUAUGUCCAUCUGGUCCGAAAGGGCGAGGGUUCGAAUCCCUCUGUUGUCA
rnacentral:tRNA from 1 species